rnacentral:lncRNA from 1 species
AAUUGAUCUGUUGCAGGAGGAGAUAAAACCUGGUACAAUAUGCCUGGCAUCUAGUCCUAUUCUCCCAAGAAGAAUGUGUAUAUCACCAGUAUGUUUGGUCUCCAGGAGAACAUGGGUCUGAGAAUUGGAAGAAAAAUCUUUUAACUCCAUUGCUCUUCCUGUUAUUCAUGUGACAUAAGUAACUUUUCAUGAUGCUGGGUGUCCAGAACGAAGUUCUACCAUUGGCAUUUCCAUAUCAGGGUCUGGAAAGCCAACAGUCUACACUCAAGAGCAUGUGACAUCAUGCCCCAAGGAAGGCAUCUCUUAGGCCCAAACAUCAUAAUGAAACUGAUAUUCAAGAAGCCAGUUCCCUGCAACCCAACUGAACUAGAACCAUGUCUAAACAGACCCAAGAGCCUGGAGAUUCAUGGCUAGCCUGUAAAGCCCAGAUUCCUGUAGCUGGUAAGGAGCCAAGGGGCAGGUGACCUCACUGACCUUUAUGAAUAUGCCCAUUGCCCUAUAGUGUGGCUUUGGCAUGUACUAAGCUCUGUCUCCACUGCCAGACACUGAACCAUCACAAAGACAUGGAACCAGUCCACAAAGACAAGGACCCCUGAGGCCACCUCACUUGAACCCCACCCUAGCUAUCAUUGCAUCUGAUGUCAGAUGCAAUGAAGUGAGCUCUUGGGCCAGAAGGCCUGGGCUGAAAUCUUUG